CAGGUUUCAUCGGGGAGCUUCACUGCAGAGAGCGGCACGCAAACAUGCUUCCUCAGGCGAAGUAGGGCAAGCCAGACAACAGUGAGCCUUCCGCCAUCUAGUAUGCUUUCGUUCACAUUGUCUGAACUGGAAACAGAGUUUCCAGAAGGCAGCUAGAGUGGAAGUGCAGAGCUGCUGUCCCCGGUACAGGUUCCCCUGCAACUUGUGGGUUUGCCAAGGUCUGACAGUCUUCCACUGAGAGACAGGUGUGACAGAUCCAGCUCCCAUAUCUGGCGCUCUGCUCCAGUACUGGGGGACAUCACAGCUGAAUUCAUCAUACCCGUAAUACAGCAGCUCCUGUUGGUCAGCAUUGGUGAAAGUGAAGGCUGCAGAGUGGCAACUUUUGAGUCUAGGCAGACCACUCUGAGGUAGCAGCACUCAGAACUAAGCACUUGUGCGACGAACGCGAAGUGCACAUACAACAUUGCGAAGGCGCACUCAGCAGGACGGUGGACACGAGCAUUUCGGAACCAGCGUCAGCAAACAGAGAAGUGCCAAACCAGGACCUACCGGAGCAGGGCCCAGCAAGCAUGAUCAGCAUCUACGCAUGACCUGCUGCAAAGGAAUGUGCGAAAGAGUGAAUUGGAGCAGCAAGCUUGCAAGAGCAAGCUAGAGCCGCAGAACUUGCUGAGCAUUUGCAGCACUGAGAGAUGUAUGCCAUCAGCUGUUAGAUAGUUUUAGCAACCUCACUGAUAUGAUGAAGCAAACUGAACAAAUGAAGCCAAUACUGCUACUGAAUGAACUGAUGCAAAUUGAGAUACUCUUACGUAUAUUGCUCCAGGUGCAUUGGUCUUCAAUCUAGUUAAUGACACCCUAACAUUGUGGCAUACCUCAAAGUCCCGGGGGACAGAGGAAUAAGUAGUAGGGAAUAAAAGUUAAUAG